GAAUAGUCUGUAUGGGAGGGAUUUGAAAGCAGGUUGCUUGCAAAGGGACAAUCAAGAAGGGACAAAAGCAAGUUGUGCAUGCAGGAACAAUCUGAGUCGGGCCUAAUUGUCAUAUGUAUACAAUAGGUGACAUGUAGCAAAGCUAAGUUUUCUUCUAUCUUGUUUUGGAUGGAUUUCACUUUCCAAAUCGAUCGGAUUUUGCUUGUAACAUCAAAUGGCACUGUCACUUGGUUUCAGCUCCCAAGACUUGACUUCUUUUACUCGGGCUACAUCACAAUGAUAAGUAACCAUCACCAUGGUCAUCUGUACUGCCUCAUUGCUUUCUUGCUUGUUAGGUUCUUCUGAUUUUCUAAUCUAUUUUGUUUUAUGGAACUUUGCCUUGAUGUUCAUCUCCCCUGUUGAAACUGACGCUUCCGAUGCUGCAUAUUUCUGUGAACAUGUUAUCUGCAGAAUUCUGUCCUUUUUUUGCAAUUUUUGUUGAUUACGUUCGAUGAGCUUACUGUAGAUGUGCUUCUAUGUUUACGCAUGUAGUAUCAAGAAUAUCUUCUUCAUGUUUAGCUUGCCUUGUUGAUUUAGAAUACUAGUUUUCAUGCAUUAAAGUCAAAAGAGAAGCUGCCCUUUUCGUUACAAUAGUCUCGCACAGCUGUUUACAGUGUUUACUAUGUCAAAACAUGUUCUUGGACUGUUUGACAGAGUAUUGCUUUUCACCUCCAUUCUCUUGUUCGGCUAAAAACGUUAGAUGCUGACGAAGUUACCAAAGCUAACUAAAUUAACAAAGCAAGUGGAAAUGAAUCAGUUGCACUCAUUAUGUUGUCAUACGGUUCUUUAAUAUUACUGUAAUGAGCACUCCACAGCUAUUUUGGGAUGAAUCAGUUUGCAGGCAUGGAGAAAAGUCAAUAUCCUGCACCUUGGGAAGAAAGUAAGAGUGCAUCCACUUUCAUGUUCUUUUGGCUUCCAUAUCUAUUUGCUGACGCUGAAGCAUAUCUAUCAUAUUCAUAAUAUUAUUUUUUCAUAUUAUUAUUAUUCGGUUGAAAAGGAUAUUCUUGACUCUUUGCACCUCUGUCCUUCCUCUUACAAUUGAAGGCCAAGAGCCAAUAGGCAUCUCACAGCAAUGCGCUUUCACAUGCAGGUGCAUAACCACAUCACGUGUGCGUGGUUUGGAUGUUUGUUUCUAUUUGCUGGUGCAUGUAGAAGGAAGAAAAGGGAAUAUCGUUUUUUAUCUUUAUUCAUACUAUUACUCUCUACAUCAAUCAAUUUUCUUGCAACAAAGACUGCAUAUAUUACCAACUUAAAUUUCUGCCAUCGUCAUCUGCUAUAUUAUUAUACAUCUCUGUUUGUACGUGUACUGGUUGGAUUUGGAUUUCUUCAUGAGUAGCUUAUGCCUUAGGGGCCAGACUCUUAACUGUUCACUGC
rnacentral:lncRNA from 1 species